CUCUCUCUCUCUCGAAAUGAUCGAAAGUACUUGCGUGCUUAUUGGCCAGGAUGGAAUAAGCCAACAAGAAUUCUCAAUCAGACGCAUAAACAUUGGCAUUGAUCUGAUCUAAAACCGAACAAUUGCUUUGUCGAAACUCCUCCCUUGUCUAUUUCAUUGAUCAUAUCUUUGACAGUUUGUGCCAUCUCUUAUUCAAUUAUGCAUUCUUCUCCUAUUUAGCAUCUCUCAGUUUCAAAUUAUGCAACAGAAUGGAAUUCAUGAGAGGUUCAUUAACAUCACAAUAAGUUGAGCAGAAUUUGGCAGUGCUAGUUGUAUCUGGAAUAAAAUUAUAGUAUCUUUUUCAUUGUAAAAUAUUUGGAGAAUUGGAGUUAAGAAGUACCACAUGAUUGAUGAAUUCAAUCUGGUCAUAAGAAUGUACUUGAAUUUUCACAUUAGGGAAAUAUUUUAGAGCUAUCAUUUUGUUUUAUUGUUAUUUUCACAUAGGUGAUUUAUGAAUGAGAAGUUGUCAAUC